rnacentral:rRNA from 1 species
GAGUGAAGAGGGAAGAGCUCAUCAUUGGAAUCUGGCAGUGUUUUCACUGUCCGAGUUGUAGAUGAGGAGUAGUCCAUCUGGACUGCAUGGCGUCCAAGUACAAUAGGCCGUCAGUGGGACAUCAUAGAGGGUGACAAUCCCGUCCUUGAUGCCAAUGUGCAAGUCCGUUACGAUGGCUAUCUCAGAGAGUCGAGCAGUUUGGGAUUUGCUGCUUAAACAUGGGAGGUAGAUUCCUUCUAAAGCUAAAUACAGGCGAGAGACCGAUAGAGAACAAGUACCGCAAGGGAAAGAUGAAAUAGCACUCUGUGAAGGGAGUCAAAAGACGUGAAAUUGUUGCGAGAGAAGCGAUUCAAGUCAGCGUAGCUAGGCCCAUCAAGCCUCUUGCUUUGGACUAGCUUUGCCAGCGGUCUUGUCCUAAGAGACUUGACUUGUUAAUAUGUCCAGCCUGGUAUGCACAGGUAGCCCCAUCGGGGCCAGUGACAUGGCUGGUGGAAUGGCUUGCAAUCGACCCGUCUUGAAACACGGACCAAGGAGUCUAACAUGUAUGCGAGUAUAAGGGUGGCAAACCCGUAUGCGCAAUGAAAGUGAUUUUCGGUGAUUGAGAAUGGCCUGAUGACCAGACAAGCAAUAUUAUGUCCCUCGUACGGCCAUUGCCCAAGUUCCGUGGUAGAUCCCACGAACAUGGAGUUGGAGCAUACAUGCUAGGACCCGAAAGAUGGUGAACUAUGCCUGGACAAAGCGAAGCCAAAGGAAACUCUGGUGGAGGCUUGUAGCGAUUCUGACGUGCAAAUCGAUCGUCUGAUCUGGGUAUAGGGGCGAAAGACUAAUC